rnacentral:rRNA from 1 species
GUGGGGAAUUUUGCGCAAUGGGCGAAAGCCUGACGCAGCAACGCCGCGUGACCGAUGAAGCUUCGAGGAGUGUAAAGGUCUGUCCCGGGGGAAGAAAGGUUCCGAUGGAAAUACGAUCGGAGAUUGACGGUACCCCGGAAGAAAGCCCCGGCUAACUUCGUGCCAGCAGCCGCGGUAAUACGAGGGGGGCGAGCGUUGUCCGGAAUUAUUGGGUGUAAAGGGCUCGUAGGCGGGCCGAUCAGUCGGAGCUUAAAGACCUCGGCUCAACCGAGGGGCUGGCUUCGAAACUGUCGGCCUUGAGUUCGGUAGAGGAAAGCGGAAUUCCUGGUGUAGCGGUGAAAUGCGUAGAUAUCAGGAAGAACACCGAAGGCGAAGGCAGCUUUCUGGGCCGAAACUGACGCUAAGGAGCGAAAGCGUGGGUAGCGAACAGG